rnacentral:sRNA from 1 species
CAUUAAGCGGGGAAAGAACUAACUAGGAUUCCCUCAGUAACGGCGAGUGAAGCGGGAUGAGCUCAGGAUGUAAAUCUGCGCUAUUAAAGCGCCGAAUUGUGGUCUGUAGACUUUGGUGUUAUCUGCCGGGCCAAGUUCCUUGGAAAAGGACAGCUGAGAGGGUGAGACUCCCGUCCGCCUGGUAGAGUGAGCCUUUGUCAAAGAGUCGAGUUGUUUGGGAUUGCAGCUCUAAUUUGGUGGUAAAUUCCAUCUAAAGCUAAAUAUUGGUGGGAGACCGAUAGCGUACAAGUACCGUGAGGGAAAGAUGCAAAGAACUUUGAAAAGAGAGUUAAAGAGUACCUGAAAUUGCUGAAACGGAAGCGAAGGAAACCAGUGUUUGUUUGUUCAUAUUUCCCUGACCACUUGUGGUUUGGGCGCUGUGGGCUUGCGUCGGUUUGCUUUGGUUAAUCCCUUUGGAAGAGCGCAGUCAGAGUUGAUGUCUGUUGCUAGCACUGGGUUUUAUCUUGAGUAGAACGAAAAGGUUACUUACCGA